ACCCAAAGAUAACCGAAGGUGCCCCUUUUACAUGAUUGUGCACAAACUCCAAUUAAAUUAACAAAAACAAAACGUCAUAUUAAUCACAAACAGCAUCACAGUCAAGGGCACUGCAGUUUGGUAAACUCCGUUUAAAUGCACCCGUAGUACGUAGUCCUCUAGCAUUCUCCGCUCAGAGCCAGGGACUUUCCAUCCAAUUGAUGGGAAAUUCAGGUGCUUUCAAUUUUGUGUUCAAUGCAUUCCGAGGUAAGAGGCUAUCGUGAUACUACGCCGCGACAUUUCCUAUGAUAAAAAGUAACGUGACAAGUGGGAUUAAAGCCUAUGGGGACACAAUUGUCAAGGAAUUGUGUUCCAAUGGCGGAAGUACCAGUAGGGUUACCUGAUAUGAAUAAGAGAUGCCCAUCUUGUACUUCCAUUCUCGCCCACAUCCUUGGAAAAGACGACUCAAGGGAUAUGGCCCAGUGUCCGCAGUGCCCCUCAGCACCAUGGUUGUGCUGGUCCUGCCUCUCCCCCUUGAAAAUCACCCCUAAAACUCCCACAGGACGCUGCAUCAACCGUUCAUGCCAUCUGGUGAACACCCUUCUCACGUGUGACACCAUAACAGAUAACACUUACCUUCAGGGCUGCCCGGUGUUCCGUGCCUGCCCAAAGUGUCGCUGCUUGCUCAUGCACUCAUCUGGAUGUAAAUUCGCAACUUGCCAGAGCUGCAAACACAAAUUCUGUUUCGUCUGCUUGCAGCCAGCAAGUGAGUGCAGGAAAGAUAACCAUCUGUACUUUUUGCCAUCCUGUUCUAAACCUAGAGCAAGCAGGCAGAUUUUCCACUCGUGAGCAAUGCCGUUCUUGUUGCUCUGUGUCUGGUUUAGUUCAUUUAUUGACUAAAUACAGUUGGAAUGAUACACUCAUGAUCCUUAAUUUUUGCUGUACUUUUCUAUAUGCACUUUUUGUAUGUCACCUUGGAUAAAACUAGGCAUAUCUGUUCAAUC